rnacentral:lncRNA from 10 species
AGAGCGAAAGGCUUGAGGACCAGGUCGGGGCCGGGUUCCGGGUCGGGGAGCGGCUCCGGGCGGCAGCUAUGAGGCGGGACGUGCGCAUCCUGUUACUGGGCGAGGGUAGGCGCCGGCCCGGGGGUCUCGGAGCUGCGGCGGCCGUGAGGCGGGGUGAGGGUCUCGGGGGUCGGGGGGCGCCGUGACCUUGGCCCUCGCGCUGACCGCCUCGCCCCGCGCAGCCCAGGUGGGGAAGACGUCGCUGAUCCUGUCCCUGGUGGGCGAGGAGUUCCCCGAGGAGGUCCCUCCCCGCGCGGAGGAGAUCACCAUCCCCGCGGACGUCACCCCGGAGAAGGUGCCCACCCACAUCGUGGACUACUCAGAAGCCGAGCAGACGGACGAGGAGCUGCGGGAGGAGAUCCACAAGGUACCCGUGGUGCGCGGGACGAGGGAGGGGCUGGGCGCGGGCUCGGCCUAAUCCGCUUCGCAGCCUGGGGGAUUGGACCGAGGUGCUCCGGGUGUCCUUGGCCCUGAUAAUUCUGUGACCUCCGCACUGAGGGUUGUCGGGGCCCCUACAGCGCACCCCGCUGGGAGCCGGCACCGCUCAGU